rnacentral:rRNA from 1 species
AUUGAACGCUGGCGGCAGGCCUAACACAUGCAAGUCGCGCGGAGCGGCGGACGGGUGAGUAAUGCCUAGGAAUCUGCCUGGUAGUGGGGGAUCACGUCCGGAAACGGGCGCUAAUCCCGCAUACUAUCAGAUGAGCCUCGGGCGGAUUAGCUAGUUGGUGGGGUAAAGGCCUACCAAGGCGACGAUCCGUAACUGGUCUGAGAGGAUGAUCAGUCACACUGGAACUGAGACACGGGCCAGACUCGUACGGGAGGCAGCAGUGGGUAAUAUUGGACAAUGGGCGAAAGCAUGAUGCAGCCAGGCCGCGUGUGUGAAGAAGGCCUUCGGGUUGUAAGGCACUUUCAGCGGGGAGGCGUUACCCGCAGAAGAAGCACCGGCUAACUCCGUGCCAGCAGCCGCGGUAAUAC